ACGAUAGCGACGAUGACGACUACGGCGAUGUAGUACCUAGGUCAGUUAUUGUCAUCCCUUACUAUCCCGUGAUCAGACAAAUAUUGCUAUCCUUGUCUCCUUUCUAACCGGCAUGCAUCGCACGCAUAGAACGCGUGAGCGACUGCGUCACCGGUAACAUCUUGACAAGCUAUAGCAAACCGGUAUUUAUUACGUCCCUUAUGUGACCGCCGCCGCGCGCCGCCACCAGUGAAGUUGGGGUUAGUAUUUUGCAUGUUUUGUUUGAUAAUUUGUUUACAGUUCAGUGCAAACUAUGGUCACGAUCGGUGUUAUUGUUGGUUGUUAAAAUAUUGUGAGUGCUAUAUAUGCAAAUGAAUAUUCAAGAUGUUAUAUUCUAAAAGAUAUUAGUGGAUGCAGAUAAGAGUGUUUAGUGAGUGCUAUGUUUGAAUAUUUGCAAGUGAAAACACAGCCUAUCGAUGUAAUGCGCCGAAAAACUAUCAUGACUGCAUUGAUGUAAUGCGCUAAAAAACUGCAAUGGCUCCGAAUACAUGAUUACCAGAUAACAAAUCCUAGGUAAGAAUUUAUCACUAUUUUCAUAUGGUAUUGUGCUUAUGCUAGGAUACAGUGUUGUGGUGCUGAAGUUGAUAAAGUUAUAACAGCCAAUUUACUUGUCAAAACUCUUUUGUACCUAUCAGUUACAAGCGACAAAAACGUGUUUCUGAACUAAAUACCUAUGUAAGUAAUUCACACCCUGUGAAAUUUCAUACAAGUUUCAAACGCACCGUCCGACCAAACCGGUUUUGGACAAAAGCCAAAUUGUUUACUCAGCUAUCUCUUUCGCUCAAAAACAAUAGAGGUCAGUUAUGGGACAUAUAUAUUGAAAAAAGCGAAUACACUAAUGAACAGUAUUUCUACUCUACCCUUUUCGCACAAAAGUUCGCAGUUUCAAGUAAUUGUUGCAAUAAGUUACUUACUGAUAAGAAAUUUUACUCCACUGUUUGCUGUGGUCUCCAAAUGACAAUAAAUUACCAAACAAAUAGUCUAGGUGAAAUAACGUUAUUACUACUCGUAUCUACCUACUCGUAUAUCAUAU